rnacentral:lncRNA from 1 species
UAUUUAUUUUCCCUCUAAUCUUUAUGAUGAAUAAGAUGAUGGAUUCUGAACCAUCAAUUCAUACAAUCCCCAUUGUUCACAAAUUUUUGAAUGUCUUUCCAAGGGAACUAAUAGUUUUGCCACCCAAGUGAGAGAUCGAGUUCUUUAUUGACCAAGUUCCAAGCACCCAACCUACCAAUAUUCUCACGCAUCAAAUGGAUCGGGUAGAACUCCAGGAGUUGCAUCGUCAGCUGAUUGCUGUACAUGAAAAGAAGUUCAUUU